UUAUAAUAAAACAACGGUUUGCUAUAUAUGUACGUAUUUACCUAUAAGAAUUCGUAACAUCGGUACAAUAUAUCUGUUAAUCACAUGACCGCGGGGUGGUUGCAUGUAACAAAUCCUGAUCGUAAACUCGCUAUUUGUUUUAUCGGAAAGUAGGGAUAAAGUUGAUUAGAAAUUUUAGUAUUUUCUAUUCAGUUUCAAAUAUUCGAUUACAAAGUACCAUUUAAGUUCCUCGAUAUUUGCAAAAAUAUAGAAACGAUAUAUUAUAAAUGAAUAAAGAGUGAUAAUAUGAAACAAGAUUGAAAAUAGUGACGAUGAAUUAUUGUUUUUUCAUUUUUGAAAAAAAUAUUUAACGUUAUUAGCGAAAUGCAGUUUCUGUCGUACUCGCAAAAUAUUUAAGUUUUUAAUAUAUAAGUUCGACGAAGGAUCAUCAAUUACGUUUGCUCGAGAAUCACGUCGGGCAUGAACGAUGUCCAUUUAACGCGAGUUCCAACGAACGAUAAUAAUAAAUUAGUAUUCGCGUGCGCUUUGGCAGACGCUUGGCCAACAGAUUACCUUCGUUACCAGCUAAAUAGCGAGCGUUCAGGAAUAUUUAGAACGUACAACAAUUAAUAUUAAACGGAAGAAUAUUUUCGAUAAAUGGAUACUUUUUACCGAUUUUAUGGGUUAACCAGCCGGCACGAAACGUGUUAUUGAAAUUAUUUGAAGUCAGCUACAGUACAAGCAACGAAAAAGGAACAUAAUACCUUUCGUACGAGGUGCAAUUCGCCAACGAAUAAAUUUAACAAGAAGAACUUAUAAUUCCGUUACACUGUUAUAUAAAAAAAUGCUCUUUUUUCGUACUAAAGAGAAUUGUUUCGUAUAACACAAUUUCAAUGUAUCUUAAAUUUUAGACACAUUGGAAUACACGUGGGUAUGAUAAUAUUAUAAUACAGUCUCAAAAUUGUCUACUUUCGCGGUACAUGAAAAUCGAAAAAAAUGAUUAGCGUGCGGAUCAUCUACAUAUACACACGUGCAGCAUUUUUUUAAUUUUAACGUUAAACAAACAGCAAACAAAUCUCGAUAACUUUUAUGCAUUUAUGUAUAUUCAGAUACCAUUUAUCUGCAAAUGGGCAUCGACGAGGUUCCACCAAUGUGGACUCAUGGAGAAAUUUGAAGUUCGCAAGUAUUUUUGGAAUGCUUUUCUUUUUAACCUCGUCCUUGACGAUGAAGAUUUCUCCGAUGAGCUUGAAAAAAACGCAUCUUCAAAGCAAAACGUUACCUUGAAGAUUCAAAUUCGUCUCGAAAGGUAACAUCAAGAACAUCUUUUUCAAGAUAUUCUCGAAGAUACAAAAGUCGCGUGAAGAAACCUUCUCUACCCGAAAUCUCGUCUUUUCGAAGGACGAUCUGCUACAAUGUUCAGUCUCUCGGAGAAUUUGUUUACCGAAAAUACAUACAUUUAUGUAUAUUUGUAUAAUUAAUGUAACAUACGCUAUUUGAAAGUGCUUCUGCUGAUUACACACAAAGAACAAAGUGACUCGCGACACCUUUCCUAUUGUUACUACUGGGGAGUCGCGGACAUGAAAUUAAGCAUCGCUACAGCUCCCUUCUUCUCUUCCAUUUUAUGUUUCCCAAAUUUCUAAAUUUAUGUAUAUUUAUAUAUAUGUAUAUAUAUAAAAAAAAACCAGCGUUCUUUAUGCACAGUACACCGUAUACAAGUCGACUUCCAUUACCACGCACCAGUUGGGGGAUUAAUAAUUUGCAUAGUUAAUUAUACAUAGUUCAAAUACAUUUACAUAUAUAGCUUUAUCGCGUAUUAUUCAAAAAUUCGUGUCAUUUGCACGUGAAUCAUAACAAUUUCGAUAUGGAUUACGUUAUAUCAAUCUUUUUUAUUCAUGCCUAUGUGAUACCUUUAACGAUGUUAUCUUUAUUCUCGACAGUGCUGUUAAAAAUUUGUUGGAAUUUCUUUUGCACGUAACUUUUAUAAG
rnacentral:lncRNA from 1 species